UACGGGGGGGGCAAGCGUUGUUCGGAAUUACUGGGCGUAAAGGGCUCGUAGGCGGCCAACUAAGUCGGAUGUGAAAUCCCCAGGCUCAACCUGGGAACUGCAUCUGAUACUGGAUGGCUUGAAUCCGGGAGAGGGAUGCAGAAUUCCAGGUGUAGCGGUGAAAUGCGUAGAUAUCUGGAGGAACACCGGUGGCGAAGGCGGCAUCCUGGACCAAUAUUGACGCUGAGGAGCGAAAGCUAGGGGAGCAAACGGG
rnacentral:rRNA from 1 species